rnacentral:rRNA from 1 species
AGACGUCUACAUUAGAUACCCGGGUAGUCCCAGCCGUAAACUAUGCGCGUUAGGUGUAUCGGUGACCACGAGUUACCGAGGUGCCGAAGGGAAACCGUGAAACGUGCCGCCUGGGAAGUACGGUCGCAAGGCUGAAACUUAAAGGAAUUGGCGGGGAGCACCACAACGGGUGGAGCCUGCGGUUUAAUUGGACUCAACGCCGGGAAUCUCACCGGAUAAGACAGCGGAAUGAUUGCCGGGCUGAAGACUCUGCAUGACUAGCUG